rnacentral:rRNA from 1 species
GAUCAUGGCUCGGGAUGAACGCUAGCUACAGGCUUAACACAUGCAAGUCGAGGGGCAGCAUGGUCUUAGCUUGCUAAGACUGAUGGCGACCGGCGCACAGGUGAGUAACACGUAUCCAACCUGCCGUCUACUCUUGGACAGCCUUCUGAAAGGAAGAUUAAUACAAGAUGGCAUCAUGAGUCCGCAUGUUCACAUGAUUAAAGGGUAUUCCGGUAGACGAUGGGGG